GUCCUCAGAGCCGCUGUCUGCGGGACUGGUGCCCGGAAGUUCCCGGAAGUGGCCGGGCCUCUGGCUUCUGAUGCGGGUCGGGUAAAAUGGUGGUGGCUGCUGUGUUCCCGGCCCUUCCGCGGGUGCUUGCUCUGUCAAGACGCCACCUAGUGUCUCCUUCACUCAGAGUGACAUCAUUCAGACGCUGCUACAGAGGUGACAGCCCGACAGAUUCCCAGAAGGACAUGAUUGAAAUCCCUUUGCCUCCGUGGCAGGAGCGAACUGAUGAAUCCAUAGAAACCAAAAGGGCCCGGCUGCUCUAUGAGAGCAGGAAGAGGGGGACGCUGGAAAACUGCAUCCUUCUUAGCCUCUUCGCCAAGGCACAUCUGCACCACAUGACAGAGAAACAACUGAACCUCUACGAUCGCCUGAUUAAUGAACCCAGUAAUGACUGGGAUAUUUACUACUGGGCUACAGAGGCAAAGCCAGCCCCAGAAAUAUUUGAAAACGAAGUCAUGGCCCUGCUGAGAGACUUUGCUAAGAACAAAAACAGAGAGCAGCGACCGCGGGCCCCAGAUCUCGAAUACCUCUUUGAACAGCCACAUUGAGCUGAGCGCCACUGCUUGCCCGGCCUCGGUCUGCGGAUGCUCACUGCUUUUGAUGGGUAUUGGCCUUGAUGUCCUGCUUCUCCUUAGACGCUCAGCCCACCCAGACCAUUGGUCCUGCCUCCAGUGAUGGACCCGCCUCUCUCCUGAGGACAUGAGCUGUAAUCCAAUCAGAACGGCCAUCACCCAGACUGGGCCAGGACCAUCAAAGGUGCGAUCGGAGGAAGGCAGGCCUGAAUCGCUAGGCAGGCGGUUGGUGAGCACAAGAGCUGCGCGCAGGCAGGAAGCACACGUUUCCAGCAUCAUUGAGCUUCGGGGUCACCACGGAGCGUCCUCAUGGUCCUGCCUGCCCCUCAGUGUCCCUGGCUGAGGAGAGAAGAGGAGAGAACCAGCCUUUAUUUACUUACACAAUCUCAGUAGAGCUUCACAGCUCUCCUGCAGGCAAGUGGUGUCACACCUAUUUUGUAGAUGAGAAAGUGGGCUCAGGGAGAGUGAUUUGUCCAAGAUUAAGUCACUACUCAGUCAGAAAGCCAGAAUCUUGCUUAGUUCAGUCUGUCUCCGAAGCUCAUGAACUUUCUGCCAGAACAUGCUACCUUACUGGUGGAAACUGUGUAGAAAUCUAUGCUUUGAGAAGUUAUAGCAAAGAAACUUGACGGUUCUGAGCCAUGACUUGUGUGUCACAUAGGGCAGGGGUCCCCAACCCCUGGGCCAUGGACUGGUACUGGUCCACGGCCUGUUAGGGACUGGACCGCACAGCAGCAGGUGAGCGGCGGGCGAGUGAGCAAAGCUUCACCUGCCGCUGCCCAUCGCUCGCACUACCGCCUGAACCAUGCCCCCCCCCCACCAUCUGUGGAAAAAUUGUCUUCCAUGAAACUGGUCCCUGGUGCCAUAAAGGUUGGGGACCACUGACAUAGGGAACAGGAAGCUGCCAGGUGCCUCCCAAAGUAAGCACUUGGUCACCCACGGUAGCUCUCAUAAAGUGAGGGUAGGAACUGGUUACAAGUUAGAUCCUGACUCUGCUGCUUACUGUCUGGAUAAAUGAAUUGGCUUGAGCCUCGAUUUCCUCAUCUAUAAAAUGGGGAUGAUGUUGCUCCCUGUCUAUUUGUGAAGAUCAGACGUGAAGAGAUAAAGCACACGGAGCUCUUCCGUGGUCCCCAGCACACAGUAAGCGCUCGGUAGAUAUUAGGUGUCAGCGUUAGGUCAUGGCCUUAGCCUGAGAUUUAGGAGCUGUCUCCUAACACAAAUGGCCUGCCAUGUCAGCGAGGUCACCAGAGCUUCAUGCAAGGCAGAGUCCUGCAGGUAGAAAAGCCAGACCUGUUAAGGAACCAUGGGAUGUCUUACCAGCCAGUAAAGACUGGAGAGAAAACAGACCCUGGUGUCAAGGACUUCGAUGGAAAAAUCUGUAGCACUGUCACCUAAGCAAGGAAUGGGAGUGAGAAAUGGCGGGCAGAAGCAGACAUCGAUCACCCUGGGAGCUCAGCAUAGGCUCUGGCCAAUCUCUCGGGCCUCACUUGAUGUACUGUGUGGAGAAUGUUAAACAGAGUUUAUGUAGAGAUAUGUCUGGACUGUCAGAAGUGCACAUGCGUUGGGCAGUGACUUACGCAUCUAUCCUGGACUCUUGUGCAACAAAUCCCAGCAGCCAAGUAUGCGGCCUGGGCUUUAUCCCCUGGGGUUUGAUCUCUCCUAACCCUGAUUUUGUCUUUUUUAACAUAACGUUCAGCUGCUGCCACUGUGACCUGGGAAUGGCAUGCUUCUAAAGGAGAUGUUUUCUUCCCAGGCUGCUGUCUUGUGUCAUCUCUGAAAGUGAAGGCUCUUGCUUAACUUCAGCUGCUCAUUGUCAGACCAGGGGUGCUAUGUAAACAGUUUUUCCCUUUAUUAGGCAUUAAGUAAAACUAGGCCAGCCACAGGACAUUUUUAAAAAAUUAAUAAACAUAUUGCAAGGGCCAGCAGCCCCACAAGA